rnacentral:rRNA from 1 species
CCCCUAGUAACGGCGAGUGAAGCGGGAAGAGCCCAGCGUCGAACUGCUUUCCUUUCGGAGAGCGGAAUGUGACGUUUGGGAGAUUCGUAUUCCCUGGCGACCGUGAGAGACCCAAAGUUCUUUUGAUUAAGGCCUUUCCCAUCGAGGGUGUCAGGCCCGUAUCGGGUCCUCUGGUUGUUAGGUUAUGGAUCCUCCUUAGAGUCGGGUUGUUUGGGAAUGCAGCCCAAAGUGGGUGGUAAACUCCAUCUAAGGCUAAAUAUUCGGACGAGACCGAUAGCGAACAAGUACCGUGAGGGAAAGUUGAAAAGCACUUUGAAGAGAGAGUUCAAUAGUACGUGAAACCGUUGAGAGGUAAACGGUGAAGGCAUCAAAGGUGCCCAUCGCGACUCAUUCGUAUCCUGCAUUACGCCCGGUUUAGGUUAUUGCUUCAUGCAGGCCUUUGUUGGUGUCGGCAGUGUAGGAGGCGGCGCACUUCGCGUUGGGUUCAGUCACGACCGAUUGCCCGGGGGUGUUAUACUGGCGCUGGUGGGGGGCAUUUUUUGUCCUUUCAAGUGUCGGGCGGCGGCCUUCUGGGCGAUUGUAGUAGUGUGGAAUGCUGGCCUUUCGGGGCGGCCGUUCCUGGGUCGGCGUCCAAUGGCGGUGCUUGACUGCUUGCAGUGAUGUUGUCGUCGGCGGCGUAGGCUUGGGUAAUGGGUCUUGGCGUUCCCCGUCCGUGGCGGUAUGGAUGUCCUUUACCGACCCGUCUUGAAACACGGACCAAGGAGUCUAACAUGUGUGCGAGUCUCAAGGGAGUGUAAACCCGCGGGCGCAAUGAAAGUGAUUAGGUGGGAAGCCGUCUUUGAUGGUCGCACCGCCGUCCCGUCCGAGUGUAUUUUAUACUGGGCGGAGAAGGAGCAUACACGUUGGGACCCGAAAGAUGGUGAACUAUGCCUGAGCAGGAUGAAGCCAGGGGAAACCCUGGUGGAGGUCCGUAGCGAUUCUGACGUGCAAAUCGAUCGUCUGAUUUGGGUAUAGGGGCGA